GCAUUGUAAGUGUAAUAGAUAUCUGUUCACUUUAGGAUCCUGUUUCGUCUGUACUGGUAUCUAACUAAGGUUUUGUACUCUUCUGCUUAUGUUUCUAUGAAAGUGUAUUCUAAUGGACCCUUCUACUUGUCAUUUAACAUAAUGUUAAUGACUCUCUAUUUGUUGCAGGUGUAUUGGUUUACAUUUAUUGUGAGGCUCUUGAUAAAACUGAUUAUUAAAGGAGGGGAAGUUGAAGACACUAGAGAGUUCAGUGAAAAUGAAUCUAAAAAGAAGAAUUAGUUCUCUAUUACUGCAAUGUUGUCAGUGGUUUUUCAUCUUCCAUUUUCAUGCAUAUCAGUUGUUGGCAUAAUAAAA